AGUAGCGCGUGGAUAACCUGCCUCACACUGGGGGAUAACAGUUAGAAAUGACUGCUAAUACCGCAUAAGCGCACAGUACCGCAUGGUACAGUGUGAAAAACUCCGGUGGUGUGAGAUGGAUCCACGUCUGAUUAGCCAGUUGGCGGGGUAACGGCCCACCAAAGCGACGAUCAGUAGCCGACCUGAGAGGGUGACCGGCCACAUUGGGACUGAGACACGGCCCAA
rnacentral:rRNA from 1 species